UUCAAACCUUGACCAACUUUCACCUUUUUGGCAAGACAACCUUUUAGAGGUCUUGUCCCUCUUUCCUCUUUUGGCUUGUCUAGAAAAAUGAACUUACUCCCUUUUGGUAUGAAGACUUUUGGGAGGUCUUUUGUUCUUUUUCCUCUUUGAUAAUGACUUGAAAGUUGUUUCAAGACUAACAAGAGCCCACACUCUCUUUCCUUUGAAUUUGGAUCAAACAACAACCUUUUACAAGACUUCUUCAACACAACACAAGAACUUCAACAACAACAACAACAAAACUGUCCACUCUUCCCACAACAACUUGCAAUUUUUUUGCUCAAGAA
rnacentral:lncRNA from 1 species